UACGGGGGGAGCAAGCGUUGUUCGGAUUUACUGGGCGUAAAGGGCGCGUAGGCGGCGAUUCAAGUCAGAUGUGAAAGGCCUGGGCUCAACCCGGGAACUGCAUUUGAUACUGGAUUGCUUGAGUCCGGGAGAGGAUGGCGGAAUUCCCAGUGUAGAGGUGAAAUUCGUAGAUAUUGGGAAGAACACCGGUGGCGAAGGCGGCCAUCUGGACCGGUACUGACGCUGAGGCGCGAAAGCGUGGGGAGCAAACAGG
rnacentral:rRNA from 1 species